GCCAGGUGUGGUGGCGCACACCUGUAGUCCCAGCUACUUGGGAGGCUGAAGUGGGAGGAUCCCUUGAGCCUGGGAGGUCGAGGCUGCAGUGAGCUGUGAUGGCACCACUGCACUCCAGCCUGGGCAAUAGAGCAAGACCCUGUCUCAU
rnacentral:SRP_RNA from 1 species